UGUGCGGCUCCGUGUCACAGCUCUCAGCUGCCACCUGUACGGCAUUAUCCAUGCUGUCACGGCCCUCAGCUCCCACCUGUACGCCAUUACCCUCGGCUGCGCCGCCCACUGCAGCCAUCUUCUUCUUCCUUCCUCGCUAAGCUCCUGCUACUAUCCUUUCCCUGUUCCUCUUCGUGUUGUUGGUAGUUUUGACGGACCCUUUUUCUUCAUCGUAAUCCUUCUUUCCUGGAUUCACUCGCCUGCUCUUUGCUAUGCUGGUCGUCGUGUUGGUGUUCAUUCAGGCGAGAUUAUCAAUUUAAGAUUUUACGGCUCUUCAUUGCCUGCCAAUAUUAUUCUAUCAUGGUUGUUAUGAGCUAUGAUUCUUCUUUCCCUUCUCUGACUAUGCCUGCUCCUUCCGUCUGUGGAUAGCCUCUAUAAACACGGAACGAAUGCUGUCGUUUUCUUUUAGUUGUGAUGUAUGCAUGUCAAUCCUAUCUAUAUUGUACCAUUAGCUGGCCUGUGCUUAUUUCGUGACUGUUGUUGCCUAUGCUCUUAGUCUUAGAGUAUGAUUUGUUCAUUGUCUGUGCUCAUGUUUUUUUAUGUUGCAUGUGCUCGGUUGUAAAGACUUUGUUUUGCCAUUUCAUCAUUAUCCUGUCCAUUUUUUGCCUGCAAUAGCCGUGUCCUUUCUAAAUUAUUUGGAUGUGCUCUGUUUUUGCUGUUAGUGCUUUCACAAUUCAAUUUACUGCAGGCCCUUCGUACUAGAAUAUUGUUUUUGUGCACUUACCUUUUUGGGGGGUUGUUAUUCAUGCUAUUCUGCCUUUACGUUACUAUUGUUGUUGGCGUCGACUUUAGCUACAAUGUUGAUUUGCUUAAUUGCUUCAGUAUAACAUCUUUCUUUCAGUGCAUCUUUCUCCCUGUGUGGGUUCCAUACCUGUCUUGGAUUCUAUUUCAAUGCCUUCUAGAAGGCCAAAAUAUGACCUGCCAACUGCGUCCGGGUCGUCUUCUACAUCAGGCCAUCCUGUGCUUUGUCUGUUCAUCCUAUAUGUCGUAGUGCUCGACGAAGUGGUCAUGGUCAUUAUAGGCAUCAUGUGCGCGCUGGUUUACUGAAGGCCGGCCAACUGCAUUCUUGAGUGCAGGUGUGUGCUUACUUAAGGAUCAUCUUGGUUCAGUUUGACUCAUUUUGUGUGCUGUCGUUGCUAAAAAGCCACUCAGGCGCACUGCCACCUGUUCUAAUAAAACCUUACCUAAAUAUAUGUGCACCUCUGUUCACUGUUGCCUGCUAUAGACGCUUUCAUUUUAACUAAACAUUGGGUUGCUAAUUUCUGUUUUACCAUAUAUGUUGUCUGACCUGGUAGGAUAAUUAUGCUUAUGACUAAUCUUUUAUCCUUCUUUUUAUCUUCUCCGUUGUUAUUUCUUUACCUCACAAAUAUUUACUCACACUACUGU